rnacentral:rRNA from 1 species
UGGCAUCUGACGUCUCCUUCUUCGCAGUCGAGCGGAGCAGUCGGGCCCGUUCAACUGAUUCAGCGGCGGACGGGUGAAUCAUGCCUAUGAAUCUGCCUGGACUCGGGGAACAGCGUUUCAAAAGGAGCGCUAAUCCCGCAUACGUCCUAUUGGAGAUAGUGGGGGAUCUUCGGACCUCGCGCUAUCAGAUGAGCCUAGGUCCGAUUAGCUAGUUGGUGGGGUAAAGGCUCACCAAGGCGACGAUCCGUAACUGGUCUGAGAGGAUGACCGUCACACUGGAACUGAGACACGGUCCAGACUCCUACGGGAGGCAGCAGUGGGGAAUAUUGCACAAUGGGCGAAAGCCUGAUCCAGCCAUGCCGCGUGUGUGAUGAAGGUCUUCGGAUUGUAAAGCUCUUUAAGUUGGGAGGAAGGGCAAUAAGCUAAUACCUUGCUGUUUUGACGUUACCGACACAAUACGCACCGGCUAACUCUGUGCCAGCAGCCGCCGUAAUCCAGAGGGUGCGAGCGUUAAUAGGAAUUACUGGGCGUAAAGCGCGCGUAGGUGGUUUGUGAAGUUGGAUGUGAAAGCUCCGGGCUCAACCUGGGAACUGCAUCCAAAAAUGGCAAACUAGAGUUCGGGAAAGGGCGGUGGAAUUUCCUGUGUACCGGUGAAAUGCGUACAUAUAGGAAGGAACACCAGUGGCGAACGCAACCUCCUGGACUGAUACUGACACUGAGGUGCGAAAUCGUGGCGAGCAAACAGGAUUAGAUACACUGGGUAGUCCUCGCCGUAAACGAUGUCACCUAGCCUUUGGGAUCCUUGUGAUUUUUUUGGCGCCCCUCACGCUUAAAGUGGACCGCCUGGUGAGUACAGCCGGAAGGUUAAAACUCAAAUGAAUUGACGGGAGCACGCACUUUCGGUGGAGCAGUGCGUUAAUUCUAAGCAACGUUAACAUCCUUACUGGCCUUGACAUGUGAGAACUUUCCUGAGAUGGAUUGGCUGCUUCGGGAGUGUGACGACAGCGCUGCAUGGAUGUCGUCAGCUCAUUCCUGCAAUGUUGGAUAAGUCUCUUACGAGCGCACCGCUUGUUCUGUUUCAGUACGUUAUGGAUGACCACUCUAUCGAACUGCAGGGAGCUAACCGCACGAAGGAGCGUAUGACCCUUGUAUUCUUGGACCUCACGGUCGGCAUACGACCGUCUAUAUGGUCGGUACAGGGUGCAGGCACUGUAGCGAUCGAUACAUUCGAUCCGAUUCGAGCUGGAUUCGAAGUUCCGUAGACU